GUCGCUUAAUUCUGCUAAACACUUGAAUAAACCAGGUUUUGAGGGGGGGGGGGUUUGAACCUUUUUGGAUGGGGUUGAACCCUUAACCCCUCCCCUCUGGCUAUGGCCCUGUGUAUAUCAUAUACAUAAUGGUUUCAGGAUUCAGGGAGAAGUUGGAAAAAAAUCCUACUCUGUCACUUUUAACCUUCUCCUGCAUAUAUAUACUCUCGUAUAUAUAUUCUCCUAAAAUCCAUGAGGUUAUGAGGUAAGGUAGCAGAAAAAAUGCCACAGCAGGUACUAAGUGCUUGCCAAGGACUAAGGCUACAGAUUCACACAACAGUUUCAAACUUUGGGGAGUGGAGGAAAGACAGGAAAAACUGGUGCUGUCACUCAUUCCCUGCUAAGGACUGAGACUGUUGUGUUCAUAUCCACAAAAUAGUGUCUGGUUUUGAGAGGUAGUGGGAAGACAGGAAACAUCACAGCUGCCACUAGCUCCUUGCCUUAGGAGCCUCUGGUGGACAAGGGGAUAAAAGCCUCGUGACUUGAAGGUUGGGUUGCUGACCUGAAAGCUGCCAGGUUCGAAUCCCACCCGGGGAGAGGGUGGAUGAGCUCCCUCUAUCAGCUCCAGCUCCAUGUGGGGACAUGAGAGAAGCCUCCCACAAGGAUGGUAAAACAUCAAAACAUCUGGGCAUCCCCUGGGCAACGUCCUUGCAGACAGCCAAUUCUCUCACUCCAGAAGCAACUCCGGUUGCUCCUGACACACACACGCAAAAAGCUCCUUGCCAAGAACUAAUGCUGCUUUGUGCUCAUUUUACCUUGAACUUCAGGGUGGACAAGAAAAAGCUCCCAAUGCAAAAAAAAAAAAAAAGAAAAGAAAAGAAAAAGAAUGAAAGUUGGUGUAAAGGUGUCAUUAGAAGGACUCCAGUAUUUUUAAAGUGACUCCUUUAAGAUAGAACAAUGCAAGUCCCAAACUAUUUGUCUCUAAGCUCUUUUAAUUCACAGCUACUAUCAAUGAGUCCCAAUCUAACUUAAUAAGAAAACCUGUAGGUGAUCUGUUAGAUCUUUACACUCAUCGAAUUGAAAGCCAAGAAAAAAUGCUGCAUUUCUCCACCUAGAACACUACCCUUAUUUGAUAUUGUUAGAUGUUUUUUUAAAAAAAGAAUAACUGUUAGAAAUAUGGGUGAUUCUAUAUAAGAAUCAAGACAUAUCAUAUUCCAGUCACUCUACCAUAAGAGAAUGGUGGCAGUAAGAACUUGUGGCAGUAAGAAUCUGCAGCCUAAAAUGAUAAUGGGGUGUGUAGUGGGGAAGGUUUGCACUCUAAGGGAUUGACUACAGCAAUUGCUUUUCCUCACAAAUAAAAACAAACCAAGCUAAAAACCAUUGCAGAUUAUUUGUUUUAGAAUAACCAGCACACACAUCUCUCCUCUCUCUUUCUGUCUUUCUCUCUCUGUGUGUCACAAAUCAACAGAUCGGGGAAAGAGAGAGAGAGAGCGGGCACAGACCUCUUGUUUGAAUGAUUAUCUCUCAAACAUGUCAAUGACUAAUGAUAAACAUUUAGACAAAUUUAAUCCAAUUGUUGCCAGGACACCAACUCUGAGUAAGAUUAAUGUGUGACAGUUGUGACAUUUCCUUUGGGAUAUUUCUUAGCCAAUAAAUGCCUACCACAUGACUGAGAUAUAACUCACACAUCAUACCAAUAAAUAGAAGUCUGGUGUUUGUAGGCAUGGCUGUGACUUGAAGCCGAGACUAGGAAAAUAAUUAGUUUGGAGUUCUUUUAGGAGGACACCUGCCAAGAGAGUUGGCAUGGAGGAAUGGCCAGAGUUACCAUUCUAGAAAUCACACAUUGAAGGCUAUAAAAAGAAUCUGGCACAUUCAUGGAGGAUAUUAAGUCUGUCAAAAUUAUGAUGACUCCAUGCACUCUCUACAUUCAAAGGGAAUGUGUCACGGAAUGUAAAGCAAAAAGAGAUGAUUGUCUUCAUGUCCUGGUUGACCCUUGUAGAGAAGAAGGUGCAUGACUAGUGUUCCAAUCUGGCAACUCUUAUGUUCUCAGCCCCUUUGUUGGACUUCUCACAUAUGCACUUUCUCUAGGAGGUGGGCAGAAACAUCCAUCUCUUGCCAUAUACAGAGACAUUUUGUUCCAAUAGGAAAGUAGGAUGUUUAUGUUAGACAGAUCAUACCGGGUUUUUGUUUUUGUUUUUGUUUUUUUAUUCUUAGGCUGGAAUCAUAUUGGUCUCAAAUAGAGUAGCCCGUUGCAUGAGUUGUUGAAUGGUGAUUCAACAUGUAGAUAACUCCAACAAAUUCAGUGGGGUCUAUUCAAAUCAGGAAUACGAAUAGGCCUUACUCUUCUUCAUUCUACCUAAAGGAGAGAGGAUUCAUCUCCCAAUACCCUUUAUUUCCCUUUCCGUCAUUGCAUUUUUAUGUGCGUAACCUUACUUUUAAUUAAGAUAGUGAGAGCAGAUUGAUUCACUGAUAUGAGCUGUUGUGCAUUGAAAAGUGGAGGACAAGAAACUUUAAAGGUUUUCUUGAAUGAAUUGUUGUUUUUGAUUUAUCACUGAAGAGGGAAGGAACCAACAAGGAGUUCUAUGGUAUAUGAUAUUGUACAUCUUUCUGCAAUCACUGUUGCCUUAAUUAUGUAAUUAUUUUUUUUCCUAGACAUUGUGUACAUGAGGUGGAAUAUAUUUCUCUUUCCAUCUCUUGAUUAUUUCCUAUUUGAUAGGUUAAAAAGGCAAUGAUAUAUGUCAUGAAAUAUCCAUAUGAGACUGUUAGAUCCUUUUAAAGAAUCAGCAAUAUAGUAUGAAAAUGUUCAACCUUUUUCUAUAUUUAUUGGAUUUGCAUCCUACUUUUUUCCCAAAAACCACAGGGUAGAAUUCAAUCCUGGUCUUUCACUGGAAAAAUAGAUCACAGAUCAGUUGAUACAAAGGUAUUUUGUCACUAAUAAACCAAAUCACUUUAUAGUGCUUUAUCUCACCAAACCCCUUUUCCCCUUUAUGACAUAAAUUAUACUCCUGUUGAAGGCACACAGCAACAAAGAGAUAUGAAUUUCAGGGCAAUUUUUUAAAAAGGUAAGAUACCUUGGACAAUGAAUUCUGCAAAUUUUGUGUAAAUGUAAAUGUCCAGUAGAGGAUGCAAAAUUCAUAGAAGCCCCCAAGUUAUAUCUGCAUCUCCUAAUUUUCUGUGGAUAAAUUUUGAUGUUUCUGUUCAAAGUCCCAUGCCCUCUCUUCUCACAAUCAUACCUGUUCUAGAGAGUUGAAUGUGCAUGACAGCCCAAGUAACCAUGGUAAACUGCUACCAUGUAUUCCCACUAACUAGUAUAGUCCAUGUCAGUAUUAUAGGUUCUAGUAGUAAUAUAAAAGACACAAGAUUUUGGAGAUGUUAACUUUGCUAUAGCUCUAGCACAGGCUAUAAUAUAUGUCUCAUAAGGAGAAGCAAGAAACCACUCACUAUAUGUUAAUUGGUAGUACAGUAGAGUCUCACUUAUCCAACAUAAACGGGCCAGCAGAACAUUGGAUAAGCGAAUAUGUUGGAUAAUAAAGAGGGAUUAAGGAAAGGCUAGUAAACAUCAAAUUAAGUUAUGAUUUUACAAAUUAAGCACCCAAAUAUCAUGUUAUACAACAAAUUUGACAGAAAAGGUAGUUCAAUACGCAGUAAUGCUAUGUUGUAAUUAGUGUAUUUACGAAUUUAGCACCAAAAUAUCACGAUAUAUUGAAAACAUUGACUACAAAAAUGCGUUGGAUAAUCCAGAAUGUUGGAUAAGCGAGUGUUGGAUAAGUGAGACUCUACUGUAUAACUUAGAGUCUUUCCUGUUCUUUCUGCUUGGACUUCUCUAUCCAAUAGCUAAUUUUAAAAGCAUUUGAAUUCUCUCCCCUUAAAUCUGAAAUAUUCAUCAGAGAAAGGGAGUAAAUCAGCAAAUAACACCUUGCAUGCUUUUGGUAAGGAAUACAAUUAUUCAAUAGAAAGGAAAGAUUUACCCUUUCCUGUUCCACAACAAGGUGGAUGAAAUGUCACAAGCCACUUAUUCUGGGCUUGCAAAACCUUAGCUUUCAUCAUCAUUGAAAUAGUAUGAAUCUAUUUGUCUUGAUUGCUUUGGUGAUAGCCUAUUCAGACUGAGGGGUGUCUAAACUUGUUUCCACUUUGCUCAGCAUGCUGUAGUGCAGAAGAAGCUGUGCAUUGCAAUCUUCAUUGUUGUUUGAUUUUGUUGGUUUCAAUUGUAGAAAUCAGUGCAAAUGGAAGGUGUGGUUGAGAGACACCCAGACUGUGCUUUUUCUUUGACUUUAGCUAUCCAGAAUCUAAAAAUCCCACAU
ensembl:lncRNA